AACGAACGCUGGCGGCAGGCCUAACACAUGCAAGUCGAACGCCGUAGCAAUACGGAGUGGCAGACGGGUGAGUAACACGUGGGAACGUACCCUUCGGUUCGGGAUAACUCAGGGAAACUUGAGCUAAUACCGGAUACGUCCGAGAGGAGAAAGAUUUAUCGCCGAGGGAUCGGCCCGCGUCUGAUUAGCUUGUUGGUGAGGUAACGGCUCACCAAGGCGACGAUCAGUAGCUGGUCNGAGAGGAUGAUCAGCCACAUUGGGACUGAGACACGGCCCAAACUCCUACGGGAGGCAGCAGUGGGGAAUAUUGGACAAUGGGCGCAAGCCUGAUCCAGCCAUGCCGCGUGAGUGAUGAAGGCCCUAGGGUUGUAAAGCUCUUUUACCCGGGAAGAUAAUGACUGUACCGGGAGAAUAAGCCCCGGCUAACUUCGUGCCAGCAGCCGCCGCGGU
rnacentral:rRNA from 1 species